AGAGUUUGAUCCUGGCUCAGGAUGAACGCUGGCGGCGUGCCUAAUACAUGCAAGUCGAGCGAACGGACGAGAAGCUUGCUUCUCUGAUGUUAGCGGCGGACGGGUGAGUAACACGUGGAUAACCUACCUAUAAGACUGGGAUAACUUCGGGAAACCGGAGCUAAUACCGGAUAAUAUUUUGAACCGCAUGGUUCAAAAGUGAAAGACGGUCUUGCUGUCACUUAUAGAUGGAUCCGCGCUGCAUUAGCUAGUUGGUAAGGUAACGGCUUACCAAGGCAACGAUGCAUAGCCGACCUGAGAGGGUGAUCGGCCACACUGGAACUGAGACACGGUCCAGACUCCUACGGGAGGCAGCAGUAGGGAAUCUUCCGCAAUGGGCGAAAGCCUGACGGAGCAACGCCGCGUGAGUGAUGAAGGUCUUCGGAUCGUAAAACUCUGUUAUUAGGGAAGAACAUAUGUGUAAGUAACUGUGCACAUCUUGACGGUACCUAAUCAGAAAGCCACGGCUAACUACGUGCCAGCAGCCGCGGUAAUACGUAGGUGGCAAGCGUUAUCCGGAAUUAUUGGGCGUAAAGCGCGCGUAGGCGGUUUUUUAAGUCUGAUGUGAAAGCCCACGGCUCAACCGUGGAGGGUCAUUGGAAACUGGAAAACUUGAGUGCAGAAGAGGAAAGUGGAAUUCCAUGUGUAGCGGUGAAAUGCGCAGAGAUAUGGAGGAACACCAGUGGCGAAGGCGACUUUCUGGUCUGUAACUGACGCUGAUGUGCGAAAGCGUGGGGAUCAAACAGGAUUAGAUACCCUGGUAGUCCACGCCGUAAACGAUGAGUGCUAAGUGUUAGGGGGUUUCCGCCCCUUAGUGCUGCAGCUAACGCAUUAAGCACUCCGCCUGGGGAGUACGACCGCAAGGUUGAAACUCAAAGGAAUUGACGGGGACCCGCACAAGCGGUGGAGCAUGUGGUUUAAUUCGAAGCAACGCGAAGAACCUUACCAAAUCUUGACAUCCUUUGACAACUCUAGAGAUAGAGCNNNNNNUUCCCCUUCGGGGGACAAAGUGACAGGUGGUGCAUGGUUGUCGUCAGCUCGUGUCGUGAGAUGUUGGGUUAAGUCCCGCAACGAGCGCAACCCUUAAGCUUAGUUGCCAUCAUUAAGUUGGGCACUCUAAGUUGACUGCCGGUGACAAACCGGAGGAAGGUGGGGAUGACGUCAAAUCAUCAUGCCCCUUAUGAUUUGGGCUACACACGUGCUACAAUGGACAAUACAAAGGGCAGCGAAACCGCGAGGUCAAGCAAAUCCCAUAAAGUUGUUCUCAGUUCGGAUUGUAGUCUGCAACUCGACUACAUGAAGCUGGAAUCGCUAGUAAUCGUAGAUCAGCAUGCUACGGUGAAUACGUUCCCGGGUCUUGUACACACCGCCCGUCACACCACGAGAGUUUGUAACACCCGAAGCCGGUGGAGUAACCUUUUAGGAGCUAGCCGUCGAAGGUGGGACAAAUGAUUGGGGUGAAGUCGUAACAAGGUAGCCGUAUCGGAAGGUGCGGCUGGAUCACCU
rnacentral:rRNA from 1 species